CUCACCUGCCCCGGGGGCGGACCGGGAUGCGCCGAGCGGAGCUGCGAGCCCCGGGGCAGGGCCAGAGCCGGGGCAGGGCGGGCAGGGAAGGGGAACGGGGCGGGGGAAGCGGGAACAGGCGCUCGGUACCUCCGCCCAGCCCCGGCCCGCCCGGCUGGAGCCGUCCCGGAGGGCGCCCAGACUUUAUUUUGGCUUGGCGUUUUCCUCCCUGGUGAUGGAGAAUGAAGCUGGAUCAGGCUGGAUGGGAGCCAGAGCUCUGCACUGGGAGUGAAACCACUGAGAGCACAAGAGAUCUGCUGUGUGUGCUGCACUCCACAGGAUGCUCCUCAUUUUGAAGCAGGAGCCCCAGCACAGAGGAAGAGGGCCCCACUGCAGUUUGAGCAUCUGUGAAGCUGAGCCUGAAUUUAAGCUAAAAUGUGUUAUUGGACAGUUAGGAUCCAUUCCAGUUCUACCAGAGCUGGAAAUCCCGAGGCUGUGAGCAUCAGGAGUGAUGAGGGACCUCGGUGACAUCAUUUGGGCACUGGAAAAUGCUCAAAAUCUCCCUUCAGGUGACAGGGAAACCUGGGAAGGACAAGGAAUAUUCCCCCAGCUUGCACUCCCUCUCCUCACAGGUGGAAAUCAGAGGAGGAAAGAAAUGAAUGAACGAAAAAUGAAUUAAAUACCAACAACAAUUUGUUCAUUUUCCAGUUCUCCCCCAGCCUUGCUUGAACUUGGGAAGUGCUAAAUGUCAAUUUAUGAGGUAGCCCAGCUGCUGGUGGCCCAGCAGCUCUCCCUGGAGAGGGGCAGGCACAGCUCAGCUCAGGAGGUCACCGAGUUCCCACAGGGAGCAGUUGCUCCCUGCAUUGUUGCCCGUGGCCGUGGGAGGUGACUCCUGCUCCUGGAAAGCUGGAAUUUCCUGCUCUGUUGAUUUGGAAUCCCUCAGAUGCUCUCCUGCGAGGCUGGAAGCAUUCCUGGGUGCCAGGGGAACGAAGCUCUUCCCCUUCCAGCUGCAGCUUUCUGUGGAGCAAACAAACUGCUGGUGUUUGUUUUCCCACUCGGGGCCAGUUUGUCAAUAAAUCCCAGGGAUCUGUCCUUGUGUUUAUAAACUUUGGGGAGGAGAGGAACCCUCAGGAUGUUUUUGCACAAUGUCUGGCACAGCUUGGCCUUGAUCUCAGCGGAAAUAUUCACGUGCAGGUGCUGCUGUUCAGCUUUUAACACAUUGGUGGUUUCCCUGCCAGUUUUCAGGAACAUUAUUCCAAAAUUCACACAGGUGGGAGCAAAUGGCUUGGAGGAAUUCCUGAGAACCAAAUGGAAUGGUUUGGAAGAGAAGCCAAAAUUGGAUUUUAAUGUAUCUUCUCAAGGCUCUAAGAGCAUGUGGUUGUACAGUAAAUUGUAAAGAGAUUA